rnacentral:lncRNA from 1 species
GGCUACAGGUUGGAGGGUCCCUGCUCAGUGCGCCCAACUUGAAGCUCAGUUUGAAUCCUAAAUCCUUAGAGCAUACCUUCAAUCACAACUGAAGUGAGCUACAGGCGAAAUGGAAGCAUCUCCACGUUCCCUGACCUCCUGUACCCUGGGUCCCCUUGACCAGAAGUUCAGUUGGGAGCAGCUUUCAGAGCUGGAAGCAUACUUCAAGGUGGAACCAUACCCAGACCUCCAGGAUCGAAAGAUCAUGGCCACCAGACUGAAACUGAAAGAGGAACAAGUUGAGGCUUGGUUCAUCCAGAGAUCCUUGGAGGAGGAGAUGCGGCCCCCCUUGGCCAGGCUGCAGCAGUCUGCCCUGGAUGGUACCUCUUCUCCUUCCCACAAAGCCCUGUGCUGCAGGCCACCAAGCUGGAAGUACAGGCUCAUUCCCAUCAAUCCCCCUGAGUCCUCGACCAGCUGCUUAAAGGAUAGCAAAACUGUAUUAAUUUCAAAGACGGAGUUGACCGAUGAGCAGUUCCAGAAGCUAAGAAAGCACUUCGAGACAGACCGUUGCCCUAAUGAGGAAACUCUGCAGGCCUUCGCUGAGGAACUCAAACUACGGAAAGACCUCAUCAGAUCCUGGUUCAUCACUCAGCGUCACAGAAUGAGGGGGUACAGACGGUUAUUUAUGCGCUACUACAGGGAUUGGAAAACGUCCCGUGAGUACUCUACAACAAGAAGUUUCGACAGGCAGAAGAACUCCAAGGAGUGCUCUCAGAAUGACCCUGGACUCCCCGAAGCAUUGGAAGCCUUGAAGAGGCUCAAGCUCUCUUCUGGGUACCAAAGCAGAGAUGGCAUGUCACAAGAUUUCUGACUUUUCAACUUCUUGGUGGGGGCAGGCGUCUGUCUAUGGGAGAAGGUACAUUAAUAAUAAAGCGUGCAUUCAUAGAGUCGAAAA